AUUGAACGCUGGCGGCAGGCUUAACACAUGCAAGUCGAGCGCGAAAGUUCUUCGGAAUGAGUAAAGCGGCGGACGGGUGAGUAAUACAUGGGAAUCUGCCUGGUAGUGGGGGACAACGUUUCGAAAGGAGCGCUAAUACCGCAUACGCCCUACGGGGAAAGGGGGGAUCGCAAGACCUCUCGCUAUCAGAUGAGCCCAUG
rnacentral:rRNA from 1 species